GGGUUGUGAGGUUAAGCGACUAAGCGUACACGGUGGAUGCCCUGGCAGUCAGAGGCGAUGAAGGACGUGCUAAUCUGCGAAAAGCGUCGGUAAGGUGAUAUGAACCGUUAUAACCGGCGAUGUCCGAAUGGGGAAACCCAGUGCAAUUCGUUGCACUAUCGUUAACUGAAUACAUAGGUUAACGAGGCGAACCGGGGGAACUGAAACAUCUAAGUACCCCGAGGAAAAGAAAUCAACCGAGAUUCCCCCAGUAGCGGCGAGCGAACGGGGAGCAGCCCAGAGUCUGAAUCAGCUUGUGUGUUAGUGGAACGGUCUGGAAAGUCCGACGGUACAGGGUGAUAGUCCCGUACACCAAAAUGCACAGGCUGUGAACUCGAAGAGUAGGGCGGGACACGUGGUAUCCUGUCUGAAUAUGGGGGGACCAUCCUCCAAGGCUAAAUACUCCUGACUGACCGAUAGUGAACCAGUACCGUGAGGGAAAGGCGAAAAGAACCCCGGCGAGGGGAGUGAAAAAGAACCUGAAACCGUGUACGUACAAGCAGUGGGAGCACCUUCGGGUGUGACUGCGUACCUUUUGUAUAAUGGGUCAGCGACUUAUAUUCUGUAGCAAGGUUAACCGUAUAGGGGAGCCGCAGGGAAACCGAGUCUUAACUGGGCGUUAAGUUGCAGGGUAUAGACCCGAAACCCGGUGAUCUAGCCAUGGGCAGGUUGAAGGUUGGGUAACACUAACUGGAGGACCGAACCGACUAAUGUUGAAAAAUUAGCGGAUGACUUGUGGCUGGGGGUGAAAGGCCAAUCAAACCGGGAGAUAGCUGGUUCUCCCCGAAAGCUAUUUAGGUAGCGCCUCGUGAACUCAUCUUCGGGGGUAGAGCACUGUUUCGGCUAGGGGGUCAUCCCGACUUACCAACCCGAUGCAAACUACGAAUACCGAAGAAUGUUAUCACGGGAGACACACGGCGGGUGCUAACGUCCGUCGUGAAGAGGGAAACAACCCAGACCGCCAGCUAAGGUCCCAAAGUCAUGGUUAAGUGGGAAACGAUGUGGGAAGGCACAGACAGCCAGGAUGUUGGCUUAGAAGCAGCCAUCAUUUAAAGAAAGCGUAAUAGCUCACUGGUCGAGUCGGCCUGCGCGGAAGAUGUAACGGGGCUAAACCAUGCACCGAAGCUGCGGCAGCGACACUAUGUGUUGUUGGGUAGGGGAGCGUUCUGUAAGCCUGCGAAGGUGACCUGUGAGGGUUGCUGGAGGUAUCAGAAGUGCGAAUGCUGACAUAAGUAACGAUAAAGCGGGUGAAAAGCCCGCUCGCCGGAAGACCAAGGGUUCCUGUCCAACGUUAAUCGGGGCAGGGUGAGUCGACCCCUAAGGCGAGGCCGAAAGGCGUAGUCGAUGGGAAACAGGUUAAUAUUCCUGUACUUGGUGUUACUGCGAAGGGGGGACGGAGAAGGCUAUGUUAGCCGGGCGACGGUUGUCCCGGUUUAAGCAUGUAGGCUGGUUAUCCAGGCAAAUCCGGAUAAUCAAGGCUGAGGUGUGAUGACGAGGCACUACGGUGCUGAAGUAACAAAUGCCCUGCUUCCAGGAAAAGCCUCUAAGCAUCAGGUAACAUCAAAUCGUACCCCAAACCGACACAGGUGGUCAGGUAGAGAAUACCAAGGCGCUUGAGAGAACUCGGGUGAAGGAACUAGGCAAAAUGGUGCCGUAACUUCGGGAGAAGGCACGCUGGUGUGUAGGUGAAGUCCCUGCGGAUGGAGCUGAGACCAGUCGAAGAUACCAGCUGGCUGCAACUGUUUAUUAAAAACACAGCACUGUGCAAACACGAAAGUGGACGUAUACGGUGUGACGCCUGCCCGGUGCCGGAAGGUUAAUUGAUGGGGUUAUCCGUAAGGAGAAGCUCUUGAUCGAAGCCCCGGUAAACGGCGGCCGUAACUAUAACGGUCCUAAGGUAGCGAAAUUCCUUGUCGGGUAAGUUCCGACCUGCACGAAUGGCGUAAUGAUGGCCAGGCUGUCUCCACCCGAGACUCAGUGAAAUUGAACUCGCUGUGAAGAUGCAGUGUACCCGCGGCAAGACGGAAAGACCCCGUGAACCUUUACUAUAGCUUGACACUGAACAUUGAGCCUUGAUGUGUAGGAUAGGUGGGAGGCUUUGAAGCGUGGACGCCAGUCUGCGUGGAGCCAACCUUGAAAUACCACCCUUUAAUGUUUGAUGUUCUAACGUUGGCCCCUUACCGGGGUUGCGGACAGUGUCUGGUGGGUAGUUUGACUGGGGCGGUCUCCUCCCAAAGCGUAACGGAGGAGCACGAAGGUUAGCUAAUCCUGGUCGGACAUCAGGAGGUUAGUGCAAUGGCAUAAGCUAGCUUGACUGCGAGCGUGACGGCGCGAGCAGGUGCGAAAGCAGGUCAUAGUGAUCCGGUGGUUCUGAAUGGAAGGGCCAUCGCUCAACGGAUAAAAGGUACUCCGGGGAUAACAGGCUGAUACCGCCCAAGAGUUCAUAUCGACGGCGGUGUUUGGCACCUCGAUGUCGGCUCAUCACAUCCUGGGGCUGAAGUAGGUCCCAAGGGUAUGGCUGUUCGCCAUUUAAAGUGGUACGCGAGCUGGGUUUAGAACGUCGUGAGACAGUUCGGUCCCUAUCUGCCGUGGGCGCUGGAGAAUUGAGGGGGGCUGCUCCUAGUACGAGAGGACCGGAGUGGACGCAUCACUGGUGUUCGGGUUGUCAUGCCAAUGGCACUGCCCGGUAGCUAAAUGCGGAAGAGAUAAGUGCUGAAAGCAUCUAAGCACGAAACUUGCCCCGAGAUGAGUUCUCCCUGAGACUUUAAGUCUCCUGAAGGAACGUUAAAGACGAUGACGUUGAUAGGCCGGGUGUGUAAGCGCAGCGAUGCGUUGAGCUAACCGGUACUAAUGAACCGUGAGGCUUAACCUUACAACGCCGAAG
rnacentral:rRNA from 1 species